UACGGGGGGGGCAAGCGUUGUUCGGAAUUACUGGGCGUAAAGGGCUCGUAGGUGGCCCACUAAGUCAGACGUGAAAUCCCUCAGCUUAACUGGGGAACUGCGUCUGAUACUGGAUGGCUUGAGUUCGGGAGAGGGAUGCGGAAUUCCAGGUGUAGCGGUGAAAUGCGUAGAUAUCUGGAGGAACACCGGUGGCGAAGGCGGCAUCCUGGACCGACAUUGACGCUGAUGAGCGAAAGCUAGGGGAGCAAACGGG
rnacentral:rRNA from 1 species